rnacentral:rRNA from 1 species
GAUGAACGCUGGCGGCGUGCUUAACACAUGCAAGUCGGACGAUGAAGCCCAGCUUGCUGGGUGGAUUAGUGGCGAACGGGUGAGUAACACGUGAGCAACCUGCCCCUGACUCUGGGAUAAGCGCUGGAAACGGCGUCUAAUACUGGAUAUGUCCCGUCACCGCAUGGUGUGCGGGUGGAAAGAUUUUUCGGUUGGGGAUGGGCUCGCGGCCUAUCAGCUUGUUGGUGAGGUAAUGGCUCACCAAGGCGUCGACGGGUAGCCGGCCUGAGAGGGUGACCGGCCACACUGGGACUGAGACACGGCCCAGACUCCUACGGGAGGCAGCAGUGGGGAAUAUUGCACAAUGGGCGGAAGCCUGAUGCAGCAACGCCGCGUGAGGGAUGACGGCCUUCGGGUUGUAAACCUCUUUUAGCAGGGAAGAAGCGAAAGUGACGGUACCUGCAGAAAAAGCACCGGCUAACUACGUG